rnacentral:rRNA from 1 species
CCUACGCAAGUAGUGAGGAAGGUGGGGAUGACGUCAAAUCAGCACGGCCCUUACGUCCAGGGCUACACACGUGCUACAAUGGCCGGUACAAAGGGCAGCUACCUGGUGACAGGAUGCUAAUCUCAAAAGCCGGUCUCAGUUCGGAUCGGAGUCUGCAACCCGACUCCGUGAAGCUGGAAUCGCUAGUAGUCGCGCAUCAGCCAUGGCGCGGUGAAUACGUUCCCGGGCCUU